GGCCGCCUGGCGAAAUGGCAUCGCGUCUGACUACGAUGAAGUAUCGAUAAUCAGGAGAUUGCAGGUUCGACCCCUGCGGUGGUCA
rnacentral:tRNA from 1 species